rnacentral:misc_RNA from 1 species
GGAAGUAAAAGUCGUAACAAGGUUUCCGUAGGUGAACCUGCGGAAGGAUCAUUCACAAUAAGUGUUUUAUGGCACUUUUUAAACAAUUCAUAUCCACCUUGUGUGCAACGUUAUGAGAUCCUCUAUCGUUAUCUUUUAGGUUACGGAAGAGGGAACCUCUACAACUUACCAACAUCACCUUUAACGUAUUUGUCUGAACAUUUGUUAUCACGAAUUAACUUAAUUCGAAAAUACAGCUUUCAACAACGGAUCUCUUGGCUCUC